GCAGGUGCCGGCGGGCCAGGCGGGCCAGGCGGGGAGCGCGCGUCCUGCCGCUGCAGGAGGGAGGCACACACGUCCAAUGGAGGUGAGGAGCUCCAAGCUGCAUGGCGCGCCCGCCCUGCCUCCUGCCACCCCGACUGCCCUAGUGAACGGGCCCCGGAGCCUGCAAAGACGGCCAGGAUUCUGCCAGAGAGCAGUGAUGUGAUGCGAAAUGAAGCUGAGAGGCAGGACACAGAUCUGUAACUACCACCUCCCUCAUCCCUCCAAUCUGACGGAGUUAAUGAAACAUCACCCAAGGCUGGACACUACAAUCAAGAUAAUGAACCUCUAAAAUCACCUCGGAAAGCUUCCUCCUGAAUCGUAAUCCCUCCCUCCUGCCAGCUGGUCCGCAUGGCUGCCAAUACUCGGGAUGGAGAGCAGACACAGAUCACUCACCAUUCAAUAAGGCAUACAGAAGAACAGGAUAAACAACAUGACUUACCACGGUGUCUCUGGGCUCUGGCCACUCAGAAAGGAAUUUUGUGCGUCCAGGAGAUCUGCCAGCGUGCGUGGCUGAAACCAAAGUACAGCAAAAGAAAGCAAUUGAUGAGCUAAAGAAAAAACCGGGGGUUCUCAGGAAGGAUACAGGAUUACUUGUUCUACCCUAUAGGUUCACGGCAUCUACAGGUUUUUUUCUCAUCUUGCUACCACCUCUGAGGGUCCCUUGCAGACCUGUCCCCAGGCCACAGGCAGCCUCAGCAGAAGGAGACUGCACGGGUCAAGAAAGGGAAGCUAUUCAC